UACGUAGGGGGCAAGCGUUGUCCGGAUUUAUUGGGCGUAAAGGGUGCGCAGGCGGCCUUUUAAGUCAGGUGUGAAAGAUCACGGCUCAACCGUGGUAAGCACUUGAAACUGGAAGGCUUGAGUUAAGGAGAGGAAAGUGGAAUUCCUAGUGUAGCGGUGAAAUGCGUAGAUAUUAGGAGGAAUACCAGUGGCGAAGGCGACUUUCUGGACUUAUACUGACGCUGAGGCACGAAAGCGUGGGGAGCGAACAGGAUUAGAUACCUUGGUAGUCCACGCCGUAAACGAUGAGCGCUAGGUGUUGGGGGUCAAACCUCGGUGCCGCAGCUAACGCAUUAAGCGCUCCGCCUGGGGAGUACGUGCGCAAGCAUGAA
rnacentral:rRNA from 1 species